rnacentral:rRNA from 1 species
ACAAGCGGUGGAGUAUGUGGUUUAAUUCGAUGCAACGCGAAGAACCUUACCUGGUCUUGACAUCCCGGAGACCCUUAGGAAACUAGGGGGUGCUUCCAUCUGGAAGAAUCUGGAGACAGGUGCUGCAUGGCUGUCGUCAGCUCGUGUCGUGAGAUGUUGGGUUAAGUCCCGCAACGAGCGCAACCCUUGCCUUUAGUUGCCAGCAGUUCGGCUGGGCACUCUAAAGGGACUGCCGGUGUUAAACCGGAGGAAGGUGGGGAUGACGUCAAGUCCUCAUGGCCUUUAUGACCAGGGCUACACACGUACUACAAUGGCCGAUACAAAGGGCAGCGACACUGCGAGGUGAAGCCAAUCCCGUAAAAUCGGUCUCAGUCCGGAUUGGAGUCUGCAACUCGACUGCGUGAAGUCGGAAUCGCUAGUAAUCGUGAAUCAGAAUGUCACGGUGAAUACGUUCCCGGGCCUU